AUGGAGAUGAAGAUGGCCGUCAGCGCGGCCAACUGGCUCGUCGGCAAGGUGCUCAGCAAGCUGUCCGACGGGCUGGUGUCCACCUACAUGGCCAGCUCCGAGCUCGGCAGCAAUUUCCUGAACGCCAAGAACCAGCUGGUGUACACACAGGGGCUGCUGUCCGCAUCCGUGGGCAGGGACGUGGGCGACGAUCCUGGCCUGCGCGGACUUCUGGGGACGCUGAGCAAGAAGGCCGACGAAGCCGAGGACGUGCUUGAUGAGCUCCACUACUUCAUGAUCCAGGACGAGAUCGAUGGCACCAAGGAGGCUGCUGCGGAGGUGGGCGGCGGCAUCAAGGGCCAUUCGGUCCAUGGACGCCAUGUUGCUCGCUACACCCUCGGCAACUACCUUCCGUGCUUUUCAUCUCCGCGCACUCUAGGUGACGAGCCUCCUGCAUUUUCUGAUGCUGCUGCCACCAGUGAGCUACAUAGUGAACAUAUUAAGUUGCCAUUUAACAGAGUAGCCAUGUCCAAGAAAAUCAAGUCUGUCAUAGAGGAGAUGAACUCCAUAUGCCUGCUUGUCUCUGACCUGCUCAAAGUCAAAACUGCAAACCACAGUAGCAUUGCAUUAAGCACACAUGUCACCAUUGAAAGGCCUCCAACUGGUUCCAUAGUUCCACAAGAUAGAAAACUGUAUGGAAGGAAUGACAUUUUUGAGCAAACUGUAAAUGCACUCACCGGUGGCACCUACCAUGACAAAACCCUCUAUGUUCUGCCUUUCGUUGGCCCUGGGGGCAUCGGAAAGACGACCUUCACACAGCACCUGUAUAAUGAUGAAAGAAUCAAGGGGCACUUCCCUGUCAGGGUCUGGGUAUAUGUUUCAACUAAUUUUGAUGUGAUUAGGCUCACCAGGGAGAUACUUGGCUGCAUACCUGGAACUAACACAAGCACAAUUGAACCAACAAACUUAGACCAACUUCAGACAGCCAUUGCAGAGAGACUGGACUCCAGAAGGUUCUUAAUUGUGUUGGAUGAUAUGUGGACUUGCAAGAGUGUACGCGAUUGGGAAAACCUAUUGGCCCCAUUCACAACAGUGGGAACCAAGGGCAGCAUGAUUCUUGUUACAACUCGAUUGCCAUCUGUAGCACAAAUGGUCAAAACAACUGAUCCAAUAGAGUUGCAUGGUUUAGAGCCUGAUGACUUCUUUGCACUGUUUGAAUCAUGUAUAUUUGGUCAUAACAAACCCAGGCUUUAUGAUGAUGACUUGGUCAAUGUUGCAAGAGAUAUUGCAAAGAAGCUAAAGGUUCGCCACUGGCAGCAAAUACAGUUGGUCGACUGUUGA
rnacentral:rRNA from 1 species